AUGGUCUUUGGCUGGAAACGCUGUCGCUUGAAAAUCUUCAGGGAUUCAGCAUUCCGGACGGGUGUGAGGAGAUCAUUCCACCAGCCUGGAACGGUGAACGAGAAUGUUCUGGAAAGUGAUUUUGUGCCUCUCUGUGAUGGUACCACGAUUCAGCGCAUCACUGUAGCUGUUAGAAGCUCCAGUUCCCAUAGAAACAGGAGAUUCAUAGGAAACAUGUUCCCGUGUUCUCUAAUUAUCCCCUAAACCUGACUGGAUGAGAUAUGCACGGCACGGCUGCUUUUAGCUUUCAACAUGGUUAGAAAAUUGGAUUAUUUCAUUCAGAUUGGGCAGAAGAUGACAGAAUUAAACAGUUACUCUUCAGGUGUGAAUAAUGUGAACUAUGUGGCGAUUUGAUUCAGUGUCUUAUUAGGAUCCGUACCAUUGGGUUUGUGUUUGUCACAGAUUUGAUAUGCCACAUGCUUUGACUUCUCUGUAAAGGCAUUAUUCCAAGCUCACAUUUAGUUUGUUUUAUUGUUUGGUCUCGGAUGUAUAUUGCUCCUCUGUUCUUCGCGUGUAAAAUCUUGUAAAAGGAGCGUGAUGUAUAAAAAGGACAGAGAAAACGAGAGCGAUCAAUGCACUGAAGAGGAUAAUGUCUUGCUCGAGGACAGCGAAGAGAGGUUGUGGCUCAUAUAUUUGCACACCCAUCACCAUAAAAGCCGCAAUCGGCCUUCCCUUCAACUCACCGGCAAGAGGAGGCACACAGAAAGUCUGUAGUAUUCUUUUGCUUACUCUCUUUUGCUGCUUUACGGAAAGUCUUUUAAGCUAGUAUAACCACAAAUUCUCAGUGAUCAAUAUUUCAGUGGCCAAGCACAUCAAAGCACCUUACAAAAGAGUAUUAAAUAGCUAUGGAAGUUAUUAUUUUCCUGCAAGUGUACAGACGGCUCCCGUGUGACCAACAGACCGUGUGCAAAUUAUACAAUGACUUUUAAGGGUGAUGACUUUAAAAAAUUUAUUUCUACAGGACAUUAUCAUGCUACAGUCUGUUGAGGUCUAUCUCCUGCAAAAUAAAUCAUCUUUUGGUGGCCAAAUGUCAGCUUAAAAAAAAAAAAAAAAAACUUAAGUUUUCAUUUGUUAUUCUCUUGUGUGGUGACUCUGUAAUAAAAUGAUUAAUAAUGAAAGUAUUGCUAAGAAACUUAAGUGGCCUUUCAUUUCAUUAGUAUAUCAUCAGCAAGUACAGUUUUAAAAAAUAUACUUUUAGCAUUUGAAGUACACAUUUUAUACAACCAAAAUGUGUGUGUGUGUGAGUGAGAGUAAGUUAGUGAGUUUGUUUUGUACAGUAGACCAUUACACCUAUGCAAUAUCCCCAUAAUGAUAGGAAUACCAUCUGGUGUGUGUGUGUGAGAGAGUGAGUGUUUUCCAGCUAAUGUAGCCAGAGGUCGAGGUUUUAGGAAAGAUUUGUGUAUAAUAGUGAAAUUCCAUUCAGUUGACACAUGCAGUCAUUAAAGACGAGUGAUAGACUGUCUUGAACAUGAAGUGAAAGAGUUGUAGGUUACCACAUUUCUUCUUCACCCCAGGCAUGCAGGCGCUUAUGCUAUAGUGAAUGGCAGCAUCUGAGCUCUAUAGAGUUCCCUCCUGUUGUUCAGGGAUUAUAUCUGGCUAGUCGGCUUACUGUGAUGCUAAAAAGAAGUGUGCUGUGCUGCCUUCAAGUCAUGUCGAAAUGAUCGUAUUUACAAGGUGAGAGCACAUGAACAGCUCCAUAAUGUUGUAGCUACCAGUGGGAAAGUCAGGAUUUUCUUUGAGCCUUGAAUCUUAGGGUUGCUGAUGCGUCAAGUGAAGCAGAUUCAGAUGCACAUCAUAUUAUACUUGUAAGUAAACUGAGUUUAAGAAGACUUAAUAAGAAUUAUAAAUAAAGAAUUACAUUUAGUUUUUUUAAAAAACAUUUUUCAAUUCAUUAUUGUUUCUUUUAAGAUUAAAAGUUAUGGCAAUUUCUUACAGAGCCAUGUAAGGAAAUUAAUAAAAUAUUACUUUCUUUGAAGAUCCGGCCGCAGGGUGCUUUCUAAAUCUAAGGUCUGAUUCAUUCCCCCAGUCCAAUUUUUAAAUUCUCUACAUUAUUAAACCUUUUUAGUCUUUAUAGCUACUCCAUGUUCGGGAAAACAUGUUUCCUACUAAAUAGAAAUUAACAAACUAGU
ensembl:lncRNA